CACGCCGUAAACGAUGUCGAUUUGGAGGUUGUGGCUUCCGGAGCUAACGCGUUAAAUCGACCGCCUGGGGAGUACGGCCGCAAGGUUAAAACUCAAAUGAAUUGACGGGGGCCCGCACAAGCGGUGGAGCAUGUGGUUUAAUUCGAUGCAACGCGAAGAACCUUACCUGGUCUUGACAUCCAGGUGCUGCAUGGCUGUCGUCAGCUCGUGUCGUGAAAUGUUGGGUUAAGUCCCGCAACGAGCGCAACCCUUAUCCUUUGUUGCAACUCAAAGGAGACUGCCAGUGAUAAACUGGAGGAAGGUGGGGAUGACGUCAAGUCAUCAUGGCCCUUACGACCAGGGCUACACACGUGCUACAAUGGCAUAUACAAAGAGAAGCGACCUCGCGAGAGCAAGCGGACCUCAUAAAGUAUGUCGUAGUCCGGAUUGGAGUCUGCAACUCGACUCCAUGAAGUCGGAAUCGCUAGUAAUCGUAGAUCAGAUGCUACGGUGAAUACGUUCCCGGGCCUUGUACACACCGCCCGUC
rnacentral:rRNA from 1 species